GGAAGGAUCAUUAACACUUAUCGUACACUUUUUGUCGCGUCAGUUACCGAGCACCGCUUUCAAGCGUCGACCGCCAACGUUCACGCGUUGUGUCGUUUCUUGGGGGUGUGCGAGGCAAACGGCGGCAAUAAGCACCCAGUGAUCUUGUUGAAGUGAAAACGCCAAAACGCUUGUCUGCGGCAACGCGGAUUCGCGCUUUUGCGCGCUUUUCACCCCUUAUAAACACCCUUACACAAAUGAAAAACAUUAUACGCCUUAAACGUGAACAAAUGAUGCUCGACGGUUGUCAGCGCUCGCCGCUGGUAAUCUCGCAUCUUUGCACACAAAACGAAAGCGAAAACGCAAAGACAACUUUUAACAACGGAUAUCUCGGUUCUCGCAACGAUGACGAGCGCAGCGAAAUGCGAUACGUAAUGUGAAUUGCAGAAUUCAGUGAAUCAUCAAAUCCUUGAACGCAACUUGCGCUCGCAGGUCCUCCUGCGAGCAUGCCUGUUCCAGCAUCGGUUCAUUCAUCUCAUAACAUUGACAAUCUUCGCGAUUGAUCAAUUGUCUUUGAGGAGUUGAGAUGUCGAGAUCGCAAGAUCUCGUCUCUUUCAAUCGAUUGGUGCAUUUGUGCAACUUGCAAUGAUACCGUAGAACAAUAAUCUAUGGAUCAGCGAGAUCACCCAUUGCGCAAACAUUGGUGCAUUAAGUUGUCGCGGCGCGCAAGCGUCCGCGAUGCUGAACUACGCCAAACAUUGCCACGGGAAUCAUGACUUGCUUCGAUCAUACCAAACAUAGAGUUCUGCCAUUGCUAACCCCGCAACAAAUCGCCAGACGAAAAUCGCGUUGACGUGUGUCAGGAGACUGACCCGGCCGUGAUACGACUGAACAUAAACAAACUUCGAUCUGGAAUCAGGUAAGACCACCCGCUGAAUUUAAGCAUAUCAAUAAGCGGAGGAAAAGAAACUAACCAGGAUUCCCCUAGUAACGGCGAGUGAAGAGGGAACAGCUCAAGCCCUAAAGCGUGGCCGGGCGUCGGUUCACGCGUUGUAGCCUUGAGAGCUUAGUCCAGGCGCCGCCACGAUCAAAGUCCCCUGGAAAAGGGCGCCAAAGAGGGUGAGAGCCCCGUAAACGGUCGUGGUAACACCAAUGCGCGUCUAACAGUGUCUAGGCUUCCACGAGUCGGGUUGUUUGGGAGUACAGCCCUAAAUUGGGUGGUAAAUUUCAUCUAAAGCUAAAUACCGGCGAGAGACCGAUAGCGAACAAGUAGCGUGAGCGAAAGAUGCAAAGAACUUUGAAAAGAGAGUUAAAAGUGCUUGAAAUUGUUAAAAGGGAACCGAUUGGAUCCAGUAAUUGUCGGCCGUCGGAUCAUGCGCGGCGAGCGCUGUCGACGGGCGCGCAGCGGAGCGGCCCUUUGUGGUCGCCCAUGCGCGUUCGCCACGGCGGCGCAGUCGCGCUGCACUGCGGCGGUCGGCUGGUCAACAUCAGUUCGACUGGCGGUAGAAUGGCUGCGGGAAGGUAGCAUGGUUGGCAACGACCGUGUGUUACAGACCGUGGCAGAUGCCGUCUGGUUGGACUGAGGCGUGCCACGCACGGCAACGAGCGGCCGCAAGGUCUCGGCUCCAUGCCGUCCUGGCUGAUGGUGCACGGUGCAGACAGCUUGCUGUGUGUGUUGAUGCAUUGUUGCCACAGGCGGUGUGUCCAGAUGUCUCGUUCGCAGAUGUUGACGAAAUGGUUUCAAUCGUCCCGUCUUGAAACACGGACCAAGGAGUCUAGCAUGUAUGCGAGUAUUCGGGUGCAAAACCCUGGGUGCGAAAUGAAAGUGAAGAGCGGUGUAUCGCCGCUUGAGGUGCGAAACGGAGCGGUUCGCCGCCACCGAUGCAGCAUCGCCCUCCGGCGCAAUCGAGUGCCGCGAGAGGAAGAGCAUACCUGCUGGGACCCGAAAGACAGCGAACUAUGCUUGCAUAGGGUGAAGCCAGAAGAAAUUCUGGUGGAGGCUCGUAGCGAUACUGACGUGCAAAUCGUUCGUCAAAUGUGAGUAUAGCGGCGAAAGACUAAUCGAGCUGUCUAGUAGCUGGUUUCCUC
rnacentral:misc_RNA from 1 species